rnacentral:pre_miRNA from 1 species
UAUACGACUUUUCAACAACUUGGUUGAUAACGCAAAAGUUGUCGAACAAGUCGUAUAGU